rnacentral:lncRNA from 1 species
CCGGGCAGCUGGACGCUCCUGGACAUCUCCAGGGACCUAACGCUAACCUGGACUUAGUUUGCUGGCAACAGUGGAAGGAGGUCUGAGGAUCUUCACAGGGACGGGGUGCCCUUUGGAAGAAGGGGUACUUUUGGCUCUGUCUGGAUGGAGCAGCAACAGGAAGAGAAGUGAUCAGCCCCCAGAUUGAACAAAGGAACAGUCUCGAGUUUUCAGGUGACAUCAGAGAACCAAGCUUUCAGAGCUAGAGAUCAUCCCGCUGUUUUAGGGGACCCGACCGGUGGCACCUCCUGUUAAAUCAGGGUCUGACUCCAGGAGCC